UACAAUAUGAUGGAGAUCACCAAUGUCAGUAUUCUUUCUAAAGGUUAUUUAUAUUACUCUGGUAAAACACAAACUACAAGUACAACAAUUACUAGAUGUUGUAAUUUAACAAGUCCUGAAGAAAUAAUAACCAUCCAAAGUAUAUACAUUUAUCUGGCAGAAGAAUCAAGCCACAACGUGAAGAUUUAUUCACAGAAUCAUACGUUAUUGAGAUGUUUAGAUGAAGGAGGUGUUUUCUUUGGUUUAGAAGAGUUAUCAAUUUCAGGAGAUACGAUGUACCAUGUUGUAUUAAAUACCGCUGAUGUGGAAGAUGAUGAUUUUAUUUGGUUUCGGUUAAUCUCCGAUUCAAAUAUAAGUAUAACGUGUGAAGACUGCUUUGGAUUCAAUUAUGCAAGUCCAAAAGGUGAUGAUUGUCGUUAUGUGUCUGGUUGCUAUGGAGAACCAGGAUCGCUAUGUUCCAAACACACCUUGGCCUGUGAUGUAGAUCAAGUUAUAUCAAUUGAUGAAAGAAGCGAGAUACGUAAAAUACAUUAUGGUACCAAGAUCAACACUUCCUGCAAUACGAGUCUAGAUACCAACCCAUGUAAUGACAGGACAUGUUGUAGGAAACAUAUAACAGAUCUAUCAUCACCUGUAGAUAGAGACUACCGAUUACAGGUUUACAGCAACUGUUCUAAUAAACGUACCUGUAGCCUCACCUCUCCUUUCACAUCUGGGGAUGA